UUAAAGAGUUCUAUAACUCCCAAACCCAUGUGAACAUACCAAACGUUGCCUCGGCAGGUCGCACCUACCUUGUAGCACCCUAUCCUGUAGGGCCUACCCGGGACGUGCGGGUAAGCCUGCCGGCGGCCCAUUAAACUCUGUUUGAUAUUGAAUUCUGAACCUAUAACUAAAUAAGUUAAAACUUUCAACAACGGAUCUCUUGGUUCUGGCAUCGAUGAAGAACGCAGCGAAAUGCGAUAAGUAAUGUGAAUUGCAGAAUUCAGUGAAUCAUCGAAUCUUUGAACGCAUAUUGCGCCCAUUAGUAUUCUAGUGGGCAGGACCGUUCGAGCGUCAUUUCGACCCUUAAGCCUUAGUUGCUUAGUGUUGGGAGCCUACGGCGACGUAGCUCCUCAAAGUUAGUGGCGGAGUUGGUUCACACUCUAGACGUAGUAAUUUUUUAUCUCGCCUAUCAGUUGGACCGAUCCCCUGCCGUAAAACCCCCAACUUCUCAAGGUUGACCUCGAAUCGGUUCAGACAAACUCGCUAAAUUGAAGCAUCUUAGUCAGCGAAGGAAAAGAAACCAACAGGGAUUGCCCUAGUAACGGCGAGUGAAGCGGCAACAGCUCAAAUUUGAAAUCU
rnacentral:rRNA from 1 species